rnacentral:rRNA from 1 species
CCUACGGGAGGCAGCAGUGAGGAAUAUUGGACAAUGGUCGGAAGACUGAUCCAGCCAUGCCGCGUGCAGGAUGACGGCCUUAUGGGUUGUAAACUGCUUUUGUAAGGGAAGAAUAAGGAGUACGUGUACUUUGAUGACGGUACCUUAUGAAUAAGCAUCGGCUAACUCCGUGCCAGCAGCCGCGGUAAUACGGAGGAUGCGAGCGUUAUCCGGAAUCAUUGGGUUUAAAGGGUCUGUAGGCGGGCUGGUAAGUCAGAGGUGAAAGCGCUCAGCUCAACUGAGCAACUGCCUUUGAAACUGUUGGUCUUGAAUGGUUGUGAAGUAGUUGGAAUGUGUAGUGUAGCGGUGAAAUGCUUAGAUAUUACACAGAACACCGAUAGCGAAGGCAUAUUACUAACAAUUAAUUGACGCUGAUGGACGAAAGCGUGGGGAGCGAACAGGAUUAGAUACCCUUGUAGUC